rnacentral:lncRNA from 1 species
AAACCCCGUCUCUACUAAAAAAUACAAAAAACUAGCCGGGCGAGGUGGCAGGUGCCUGUAGUCCCAGCUACUCGGGAGGCUGAGCCAGGAGAAAGGCAUAAACCCGGGAGGCGGAGCUUUCAGUGAGCUGAGAUCCGGCCACUGCACUCCAGCCUGGGCGACAGAGCUAGUCUCCAUCUCAAAAAAAAAAAAAAGAAAAGAAAAAGGAGUGUUGACCAUCCUGGUCAAGAUGGUGAAGCCCCGCCUCUACUAAAAAUACAAAAAUUAACCAGGCGCGGUGGCUCGAGCCUGUAAUCCCAGCACUCUGGGAGGCCGAGGCAGGCAGAUCACGAGGUCAGGAGUUGGAGACCAGCCUGGCCAACAUGGUGAAACCCUGUCUCUACUAAAAAUACAAAAAUUAGCCAAGUGUGGUGGUGGGCACCUGUAAUCCCAGCUACUCAGGAGGCUGAGGCAGGAGAAUUGCUUGAACCUGGGAGGCGGAGGUUGCAGUGAGUCGAGGAUGGGCCAUUGCACUCCAGCCUAGGUGACACAGUGAGGCUCCGUUUCAAAAAAACAAAAGAAGAGAGUGUUGGGUCUGACCCUGAUGAUGCCACAGCAAGGUCAGAUUUCAGUGAGUCUGAGCUCAGGCCACUAGCCCCAGGGCCAGCCCUUGAGGGCAAAAUUUUCUCAGAAUGCACGUUUGUGAUCUGUGGUUACCUAAAGGCAACCAAUGCCAGGGAAAAGGCAAAACCAAAGGGUGGUGGGAAACGGAGGAGUAACGUGAAGAACUGAGCCACCUGUAGACCACCCCCGUCAGCUUCCUGAAAUACCUUCACUCAGAUGGAUCUCAGCUCACUGCAAGUCAAAUUUGGAGGCUCUGUCUUUGGUGCUAAACGCUUCCGAGUGGAAGAGCUCGGUUGGUGCAGGACCCACAGCUCAGUGCUGGACAAUCACAGACGAGUGCACAGUAAGAUCCGUUGACUCUAAGAAGAGGGGCUGCCUGAAUCCACCUGUAAACCCCGAGAGAAGCAGCCCCGUGGGGCUGGCGUUGUGAUGACCAGGAAGUUCACCCACGGAAUACGCCUGUUACCCAGGUCACGGUAAAUGCUGUGGUUAGAGGACACCCAUUUUCAUGGGCACCUUAUGUAACCUGACCGCUGCAAAGCUGAAAGAUAGUUCAGGGAGCCUCAUCCAAUUUGCUGUCUUAGCUUCCCCUCAUGGGUCUUACAGAUGCCAAGAAAAAGAUGAGGUUAACCAACAGAAGAACCGGGAAACGCAAAAGGGGAACUCAAAGGACUCAAUCAAGAGAAGAUGGAAAUUGUUAAAGGGUCAUUAAGAAAUAAGACCAGGCUGGGCAUGGUGACUCAUGCCUAUAAUCCCAGCAUGUUGGGAGGCUGAAGCACCAGGAUUGCUUGAGCCUAAGAUUUUGAGAACAGCGUGGGUUGACAUAGGGAGACCCCCUCUCUCCAAAAAAAAAAAAAAAA